UACGGGGGGGGCAAGCGUUGUUCGGAAUUACUGGGCGUAAAGGCUCGUAGGUGGCCAACUAAGUCAGACGUGAAAUCCCUCGGCUUAACCGGGGAACUGCGUCUGAUACUGGAUGGCUUGAGUUUGGGAGAGGGACGCGGAAUUCCAGGUGUAGCGGUGAAAUGCGUAGAUAUCUGGAGAACACCGGUGGCGAAGGCGGCGUCCUGGACCAACACUGACACU
rnacentral:rRNA from 1 species